rnacentral:rRNA from 1 species
CCUACGGGUGGCAGCAGUGAGGAAUAUUGGUCAAUGGACGAGAGUCUGAACCAGCCAAGUAGCGUGAAGGAUGACUGCCCUAUGGGUUGUAAACUUCUUUUAUCUGGGAAUAAAACGUUCCACGUGUGGGAUUUUGUAUGUACCAUAUGAAUAAGGAUCGGCUAACUCCGUGCCAGCAGCCGCGGUAAUACGGAGGCUCCGAGCGUUAUCCGGAUUUAUUGGGUUUAAAGGGUGCGUAGGUGGAUUGUUAAGUCAGUUGUGAAAGUUUGCGGCUCAACCGUAAAAUUGCAGUUGAAACUGGCAGUCUUGAGUGCAGUAGAGGUGGGCGGAAUUCGUGGUGUAGCGGUGAAAUGCUUAGAUAUCACGAAGAACUCCGAUUGCGAAGGCAGUUCACUGGACUGCAACUGACACUGAGGCUCGAAAGUGUGGGUAUCAAACAGGAUUAGAUACCCUUGUAGUC